UACGGAGGGUGCAAGCGUUGCUCGGAAUUACUGGGCGUAAAGGGCGUGUAGGCGGUUUCGUAUGUCUGGCGUGAAAGCCCCGGGCUCACCUCGGGAAGUGCGUCGGAAACUGCGAGACUAGAGUCCCGGAGAGGAAGGUGGAAUUCCAGGUGUAGCGGUGAAAUGCGUAGAUAUCUGGAAGAACACCGGUGGCGAAGGCGGCCUUACUGGACGGUGACUGACGCUGAGACGCGAAAGCGUGGGUAGCAAACAGG
rnacentral:rRNA from 1 species